rnacentral:rRNA from 1 species
UACGAGUGCUCCAAGCGUUAUCCGGAAUCAUUGGGCGUAAAGGGUGUGUAGGUGGUAGUGUUAGUCUUCUGUUAAAUUCUUCGGCUUAACCGGGGGCAUGCAGGGGAAACGGCACAACUAGAGGAUGCGAGAGGAACAUGGAACUCAUGGAGUAGGGGUGAAAUCCGUUGAUAUCAUGGGGAACAUCGAAAGCGAAGGCAAUGUUCUGGCGCACUCCUGACACUGAGACACGAAAGCGUAGGUAGCGAAUGGG